rnacentral:rRNA from 1 species
GAUGAACGCUGGCGGCGUGCUUAACACAUGCAAGUCGAACGAGAAAUGUAGACGGACACCUUCGGGCGGAAGCCUUCAUUUCGAGUGGCGGCCGGGUGAGUAACGCGUGGGUAACCUGCCUCAUACAGGGGGAUAACAGUUGGAAACGACUGUUAAUACCGCAUCAGACCACAGCAUCGCAUGAUGCGGGGGUAAAAACUCCGGUGGUAUGAGAUGGACCCGCGUUCGAUUAGCCAGUUGGCGGGGUAACGGCCCACCAAAGCGACGAUGGAUAGCCGAGCUGAGAGGAUGACCGGCCACAUUGGGACUGAGACACGGACCAAACUCCUACGGGAGGCAGCAGUGGGGAAUAUUGCACAAGGGGGGAAACCCUGAUGCAGCGACGCCGCGUGAGUGAAGAAGUACUUCGGUAUGUAAAGCUCUAUCAGCAGGGAAGAAAAUGACGGUACCUGAGUAAGAAGCCCCGGCUAACUACGUG